rnacentral:rRNA from 1 species
GACGAACGCUGGCGGCGUGCCUAACACAUGCAAGUCGAGCGAAUGAAGUUCCUUCGGGAACGGAUUUAGCGGCGGACGGGUGAGUAACACGUGGGCAACCUGCCUCAUAGAGGGGAAUAGCCUUCCGAAAGGGGGAUUAAUACCGCAUAAGAUUGUAGUACCGCAUGGUACAGCAAUUAAAGGAGCAAUCCGCUAUGAGAUGGGCCCGCGGCGCAUUAGCUAGUUGGUGAGGUAACGGCUCACCAAGGCGACGAUGCGUAGCCGACCUGAGAGGGUGAUCGGCCACAUUGGGACUGAGACACGGCCCAGACUCCUACGGGAGGCAGCAGUGGGGAAUAUUGCACAAUGGGGGAAACCCUGAUGCAGCAACGCCGCGUGAGUGAUGACGGCCUUCGGGUUGUAAAGCUCUGUCUUCAGGGACGAUAAUGACGGUACCUGAGGAGGAAGCCACGGCUAACUACGUG